AGAGGGGCUUGCGCCACAUUAGUUAGUUGGUAGAGUAAAAGCCUACCAAGACGAUGAUGUGUAGCUGGACUGAGAGGUUGAACAGCCACAUUGGGACUGAGACACGGCCCAAACUCCUACGGGAGGCAGCAGUAGGGAAUUUUCGGCAAUGGAGGAAACUCUGACCGAGCAACGCCGCGUGAACGAUGAAGUAUUUCGGUAUGUAAAGUUCUUUUAUUGAAGAAGAAAAAGUAGUGGAAAAACUAUAUUGACGUUAUUCAAUGAAUAAGCCCCGGCUAACUAUGUGCCAGCAGCCGCGGUAAGACAUAGGGGGCGAGCGUUAUCCGGAAUUAUUGGGCGUAAAGGGUGCGUAGGCUGUUAGAUAAGUCUAUAAUUUAAUUUCAGUGCUUAACGCUGUCUUGUUAUAGAAACUGUCUUGACUAGAGUGAGAUAGAGGCAAGCGGAAUUCCAUGUGUAGCGGUAAAAUGUGUAAAUAUAUGGAGGAACACCAGAAGCGUAGGCGGCUUGCUGGGUCUUUACUGACGCUGAGGCACGAAAGCGUGGGUAGCAAACAGGAUUAGAUACCCUGGUAGUCCACGCCGUAAACGAUGAGUACUAAGUGUCGGGGUAAAACUCGGUACUGAAGUUAACACAUUAAGUACUCCGCCUGAGUAGUACGUACGCAAGUAUGAAACUUAAAGGAAUUGACGGGACUCCGCACAAGCGGUGGAUCAUGUUGUUUAAUUCGAAGAUACACGAAAAAUCUUACCAGGUCUUGACAUACUCUGCAAAGCUAUAGAAAUAUAGUGGAGGUUAUCAGGGAUACAGGUGGUGCAUGGUUGUCGUCAGUUCGUGUCGUGAGAUGUUAGGUUAAGUCCUAAAACGAACGCAACCCUUGUCGUUAAUUGCCAGCACAUAAUGGUGGGGACUUUAACGAGACUGCCAAUUAAACAUUGGAGGAAGGUGAGGAUUACGUCAAAUCAUCAUGCCCCUUAUGAUCUGGGCUACAAACGUGAUACAAUGGCUGUGACAAAGAGUAGCUGAAACGCGAGUUUUUAGCCAAUCUCAAAAAAGCAGUCUCAGUUCGGAUUGAAGUCUGUAACUCGACUUCAUGAAGUUGGAAUCGCUAGUAAUCGCGAAUCAGCAUGUCGCGGUGAAUACGUUCUCGGGGUUUGUACACACCGCCCGUCAAACCACGAAAGUUAGCAAUGCCCGAAAGCAGUAGCUUAACUUCGCAAGAAGAGGGAACU
rnacentral:rRNA from 1 species